UGGUCUGUUUGAAGAAAAACUGUGUUUGGGAAAUUAUUUUCCAACUUUCCAAUGUUUGAAUAACAGAAAACUAAUUGACUCAUGGAAAACUUUAUGGCCUAAAAACAAUAAGCUUAGAUUUGGGAAAAUGACUUCCUCUUCUGCCAAGAAGGAAAUCAUUUUCUCUAAACCACCAAACAAAUGUAAACUAACCCUUUUAAAAUAUUUUCUUUUAUCAUGAAGUUUUCAGUGAAACAAUCACCCUUCGUAGGAAAAGCGAUCUUCACAAACCUCUUGGAUUUCAAUAGCAAGACAUUACAACAUCAAAGCAAAGAAAAUGGCACCAAAAUUCUACGUUUGCCCAAGCAUGCCAAGGACAAUCCAAAUGAAGAACAUUUGAAAAGAACUGUCAUGAAGAGCACAUUAUCUUGAUCUGGUGACAAACACCCAGGCGACGGAUAUACCU